CACUUUUUGGGUGACGCAUUCACUUAUAAACCUACGUCUGACUCACCAAGAACCCCGCCAUGGCAACCAUCCAGAGCAAACUCUUGCGACAUCCACAAUCGAAAGAGAGGGAUCCCAAAUAGGUAAUAUUAAAUACUUUGGUUGAUAUCGUAAUUGCUUCCAUUUUAAAAAUAUUUGUUGAUGAUUAGAAUUGGUUGCAUCCUCCGAAUGGUGGUUUCAUGUCGAUAUAUAUGGUUAAAUUGUUGAAAAUGAUAGCUUGGUGAGUACUAGUGUUGUAUUAUUUUUUUCGCGCAAAGUCAACACAACGACACCCUUUCUUGACCUAAAACUUAAUGUGGCGACAAACUUCAUUCUUUAAACUUUCUACGACGAAUGUCUUUGUUGCAAUUCUUUGUCGUGCAAAGCCCUUUGCGCAACAACAUCUGGGUGGAUUCGUAGCGCUAAUUUUGACGUGAUGAACUUGUUUUCCUCGCGAAAGCUAUUUUAUGUAGUAGUGCUUCUUCUCAUUGGGUUGCUAGCUCCAUCACCAAUUGUUGUAGUCUGAAAGACGUCCCACUUGGAAGAUGAGAGCUAGAUGAAGAAGAUUCUCCAAUUUUGAGAAAGGUGAAAUGAGGGGCAUUUUUGUCGUUUCAAAUUUUACUCAAACUUUUGGGUCAACUCUUGAGUUAGUUAGUAGAUCUUGAUGUGAUAUAAACUAGCACUCAAAUUAAACCCUCUUAUUGACAAUUGUAGUAAAGAUGUAAGUAGGGAUCGUUCUAGGCCGAUGAUUAUGAGGGAUUGCUAAUUUACUUAAAACUGACUUAAAAACACAAAACUAAGCUAAAAACACUUAACUAGACUCUAAAGACUCAAAACAAACUAGAAUGACUCAAAACAGCACAAAACAACGAAACUGACUCAAAUUAGACACUAGGGAUUACUUUGAACGAAUUCUAACUUAAACUUGACUCAAAAUACUAAAAGACACAAAAUUGGACAGAUUCUAACUAAGAGACACAACCAAAUAAAGGGGGAUUGGGUUGGAUGAAAUUAAAGUAAAAACAAGCAAAUUGUAAACUUAAACAAAGUUUGGACGAAAUUGGGUGAAUUAAUGGAUGAUGGGCUAGCUAGAGGGUCCUUCUCCACACAUGACACACUUGCACACAAAUUGAUUUCCAGUUGCUUUUCUAAUAAACCAUGAACCUCAACGCCCCAGAUUAACCGUGAACAGCACUAAUUAACCCUCAGAUUUUCCUUAAGUCAUUGAAUUGGAUGGAUAAUGCAUCGGCAACUCAAAUUAUUUUUCAAAAGUUCCCUAUAUGAACAGCAUAAUAAAGAUACAAUCAAAGAUCAUUAAGCUUUGUGAAAAUCAUAAGCAUUGACAAAGCAUUCGUAACUAUGAUGAGCAUGAUACUCCUACCAGGAAUCUACUUAACACGAUUGUGACUAGCAACCUCCACUACUUAUGAAUAUAAGUUUGUAACGAUUAGGUGAAACUCCCUUAUAUUCUAGAAUCAAGUUCAUGCAUGCAAACUAAGCGGGCCCUCUUAAUCAACAUACAAGAAUAAGUUCUGAAUCAAACAAUUAAGUAAAUUGCAUUCACAAUUUAUCAAAUCACAAUUGAAAGUAAUCAAUUCAUAUUACAAAUAUGUUCAUGGCUUUGAAUUCUCCUCUAGCUAAAAGGAGUUUAGCUCCUCAUGUUCACAAAACAAAGAUAAUUAAACUUAAACAUUAAAAACAAAGGAUGGAUUACACCUAAAAACGUUCCAGCAAUCCAAGCUUGAAUGGCAAGCACGUCCAAGGGUCCUCCUUUUUCUUCUUUGUUGCGGCACAAGGUUUGGGUGAAGGUUUGGAUGAUGGAUUGUAUGAAGGGAUGUGUGUUUAGAAUGGGAUGUGUUGAUGGAUGAGUGGUGAAUUGUGGUGGUGGAUGGAUGUAGGUGAGUUAUGGUGAAGGAUGGAUUAUGGAAGGCUGCGGCAAAGCUCUUUAUUUAUAGGAGAAGGAAAGGGCAUGGCUAGGAAUUAAUUUUGGUAAGAGUUAAAGACUCUAAAUCCCCCAAGAAAAGGGUAACAAAUCAAAAUCCCAAGAGGAAAAGGGUAAGGGAGGUGCGGCAAGGAAAAAGGGAAAGUGGAAUCCCUUGCCAUGCAAGGGAAAAGAGGAAAGGUGCGGCUCCUUUUAGGGAUGGGAUUAGGUCUUCUAGAAUCAUGAU
rnacentral:lncRNA from 1 species